GUUCUUAUAGUGUAGAAACACAUUACAUUUUCAUUGUAAAACCAAAGGUACCCACCCCUUUUAAAAACA
rnacentral:tRNA from 1 species